rnacentral:rRNA from 1 species
GCGUGGGGAGCAAAUAGGAUUAGAUACCCUAGUAGUCCACGCCGUAAACGAUGAGAACUAGGUGUUGGGGGAAUAACUCAGUGCCGCAGUUAACGCAAUAAGUUCUCCGCCUGGGGAGUAUGCACGCAAGUGUGAAACUCAAAGGAAUUGACGGGGGCCCGCACAAGCGGUGGAGUAUGUGGUUUAAUUCGAAGCAACGCGAAGAACCUUACCAGGCCUUGACAUCCCUUGCAGAGGUAUAGAGAUAUAUCCGAGGUUAUCAAGGAGACAGGUGGUGCAUGGUUGUCGUCAGCUCGUGUCGUGAGAUGUUGGGUUAAGUCCCGCAACGAGCGCAACCCUUGUGAUAUGUUACUAACAUUGAGUUGAGGACUCAUAUCAGACUGCCGGUGAUAAACCGGAGGAAGGUGGGGAUGACGUCAAAUCAUCAUGCCCCUUAUGGCCUGGGCUACACACGUACUACAAUGGCGUCUACAAAGAGCGGCAAGCCUGUGAAGGCAAGCGAAUCUCAUAAAGGACGUCUCAGUUCGGAUUGAAGUCUGCAACCCGACUUCAUGAAGCUGGAAUCGCUAGUAAUCGCGAAUCAGCAUGUCGCGGUGAAUACGUUCUCGGGCCUUGUACACACCGCCCGUCAAACCAUGGGAGUUGGUAAUGCCCGAAGCCGGUGGCAUAACCCUUCGGGGAGUGAGCCGUCGAAGGCAGGACCGAUGACUGGGGUUAAGUCGUAACAAGGUAUCCCUACGGGAACGUGGGGAUG